rnacentral:rRNA from 1 species
UACGGGGGGGGCAAGCGUUGUUCGGAAUUACUGGGCGUAAAGGGCUCGUAGGCGGCCAACUAAGUCGGAUGUGAAAUCCCCAGGCUUAACCUGGGAACUGCAUCCGAUACUGGAUGGCUUGAAUCCGGGAGAGGGAUGCAGAAUUCCAGGUGUAGCGGUGAAAUGCGUAGAUAUCGGGAGGAACACCUGAGGCGAAGGCGGGUUACUGGGCUGAUACUGACGCUGAUGCGCGAAAGCCAGGGGAGCAAACGGG